AGAGUUUGAUCCUGGCUCAGGAUGAACGCUGGCGGCGUGCUUAACACAUGCAAGUCGAACGGUGAAGCCCAGCUUGCUGGGUGGAUCAGUGGCGAACGGGUGAGUAACACGUGAGCAAUCUGCCCCUGACUCUGGGAUAAGCGCUGGAAACGGCGUCUAAUACUGGAUACGAACCGUGGAGGCAUCUUCAACGGUUGGAAAGAUUUUUUGGUCAGGGAUGAGCUCGCGGCCUAUCAGCUUGUUGGUGAGGUAAUGGCUCACCAAGGCGUCGACGGGUAGCCGGCCUGAGAGGGUGACCGGCCACACUGGGACUGAGACACGGCCCAGACUCCUACGGGAGGCAGCAGUGGGGAAUAUUGCACAAUGGGCGAAAGCCUGAUGCAGCAACGCCGCGUGAGGGAUGACGGCCUUCGGGUUGUAAACCUCUUUUAGCAGGGAAGAAGCGAUAGUGACGGUACCUGCAGAAAAAGCGCCGGCUAACUACGUGCCAGCAGCCGCGGUAAUAC
rnacentral:rRNA from 1 species